rnacentral:rRNA from 1 species
GCAAGUCGAGCGAGAAGCUUUUGAAGGAUCCUUCGGGUGACUGAUAAAGUGGAAAGCGGCGGACGGGUGAGUAACGCGUGGGUAACCUGCCCCAUACAAAGGGAUAGCCACUGGAAACGGUGAUUAAUACCAUAUAACAUCAUAGUGUCGCAUGACACAUUGGUCAAAGAUUUAUCGGUAUGGGAUGGACCCGCGUCUGAUUAGCUAGUUGGUAAGGUAAUGGCUUACCAAGGCGACGAUCAGUAGCCGGCCUGAGAGGGUGAAC